rnacentral:rRNA from 1 species
CCUACGGGUGACAGCAGUGGGGAAUAUUGCACAAUGGGGGCAACCCUGAUGCAGCGACGCCGCGUGAGUGAAGAAGUAUCUCGGUACGUAAAGCUCUAUCAGCAGGGAAGAAAAUAACGGUACCUGACUCAGAAGCCCCGGCUAAAUACGUGCCAGAAGCCGCGGUAAUACGUGGGGGGCAAGCGUUAUCCGGAUUUACUGGGUGUAAAGGGGGCGUAGACGGCAGGACAAGUCUGGAGUGAAAUCCCGGGGCUUAACCCCGGAACUGCUUUUGAAACUGUGCGGCUGGAGUGCAGGAGGGGGAAGCGGAAUUCCUAGUGUAGCGGUGAAAUGCGUAGAUAUUAGGAGGAACACCGGUGGCGAAGGCGGUUUACUGGACGGUAACUGACGUUGAGGCUCGAAAGCGUGGGGAGCAAACAGGAUUAGAUACCCGAGUAGUC